rnacentral:rRNA from 1 species
UACGAACUGUGCGAACGUUAUUCGGAAUCACUGGGCUUACAGGGUGCGUAGGCGGUUAUCCAAGUCAGGUGUGAAAUCCCCCAGCUCAACUGGGGAACUGCGCUUGAAACUGGGUGACUAGAGGAUGCUAGAGGUAGACGGGACUUCCGGUGGAGCGGUGAAAUGUGUUGAGAUCGGAAGGAACACCAGAGGCGAAGGCGGUCUACUGGGGCAUAUCUGACGCUGAGGCACGAAAGCCAGGGGAGCAAACGGG